rnacentral:misc_RNA from 1 species
UUUCCGUAGGUGAACCUGCGGAAGGAUCAUUAAAAAUGAAGCCGGGAAACCGGUCCUUCUCACCCUUGAUUAUCUCAAAUUGUUGCUUUGGUGGGCCGCGCAAGCACCGGCUUCGGCUGGAUCGUGCCCGCCAGAGGACCACAACUCUGUAUUAUAUGUCGUCUGAGUACUAUAAAAUAGUUAAAACUUUCAACAACGGAUCUCUUGGUUCUG